GAUGAACGCUGGCGGCGUGCCUAAUACAUGCAAGUCGAGCGAACGGACGAGAAGCUUGCUUCUCUGAUGUUAGCGGCGGACGGGUGAGUAACACGUGGAUAACCUACCUAUAAGACUGGGAUAACUUCGGGAAACCGGAGCUAAUACCGGAUAAUAUUUUGAACCGCAUGGUUCAAAAGUGAAAGACGGUCUUGCUGUCACUUAUAGCUGGAUCCGCGCUGCAUUAGCUAGUUGGUAAGGUAACGGCUUACCAAGGCAACGAUGCAUAGCCGACCUGAGAGGGUGAUCGGCCACACUGGAACUGAGACACGGUCCAGACUCCUACGGGAGGCAGCAGUAGGGAAUCUUCCGCAAUGGGCGAAAGCCUGACGGAGCAACGCCGCGUGAGUGAUGAAGGUCUUCGGAUCGUAAAACUCUGUUGUUAGGGAAGAACAUAUGUGUAAGUAACUGUGCACAUCUUGACGGUACCUAAUCAGAAAGCCACGGCUAACUACGUG
rnacentral:rRNA from 1 species